UGUAGUCGUACAAAAACCUCCCUCAGUCAGACUGCAGACACACUGAGCUGUUACAGCAGGAACCGACUGCAGCUGCUGAAGAGGAAGAGACUCUGACACAGACCACUGAACACAGAGCUGACAGGAACCUCACCAAGCACUAAAACACACUCAUACUAAUAUGUUGAAUAAAAUACAUCUUACAAAUCUAACACCACAUUAUAUUACAUUCCCAUUUACUCUAAGCUAAAGAGAGACAGUUGUUUCUUGAUUUCACAUUCGAAUCAUGACUUCAGACUCAAAUCAAAUUGAUCCCAUAGUCAGUUAUUUGUUCAUCAUUUAUCAUUUACUUUUCUUUAAUACUGUAAUGAUUUGUUUACCAGUUCAAUAAGGAGAAACAUCAGUAUUCACAUGUUAAGAACCAAAGCAUUUAAUUUUCCACAGAGAGGAAUAUCACUUUAUGUUUUAAAUCCAUUUAAUUUCUUACUAAUACAAAAGAAAGACCAAACACAUCAUCAUGAUAUUUAUCAGUUAAAGCUUUAUUAGGAAAAUGAUGAAUCAUCAACAUGACAGUUACUAAGCACGCUCACAUCUCUGCUGAGCUUUACACAUUACUCUCUAAGUUGUUGCUGUCCAACACUUUACAGCAGUGUUGUUCUCUGCCACACAAAGCUUUAGUUUCCUCUACAAACAGUAAAACUCAUAAUGAUCAGAGCAGUAUGUGUUCCCCCUGCUCCCCCCGACACACAGCUCCUGUCCUGGGCUUCAGCCGGCCCCUCUAGCCCUCACAUUGGCUCCUGUGGAUGGACUGGGUCUGGCUGUGGUCAUGAUGGAGGACCUUGCAGGAGUAUAGAUCUCCUGACAGCCAGCGCUCCUGGCUCAGGCUCAGGGCGCUGCUGCUGCUGUAGCGUCCGCUCUUCUCCUCCUCCGAGCUGCUCAGCACCCCCUCUGUCACCGCUGUGCCGUCCACCUCCCAGCUCACCACGGCUCCCUGAGGAGAGUAGCCGGACAGCAGGCAGGCCAGCGUGACCGAGCCCCCAGAGAGCUGCUCAGAGGAGGGCGCCAGAAGGGAGACCGAGGGCCUGACCAUGGAGCCCGCUGCAGGGGAGAGCAGAAACACAGAAGGAGCAGAUUAACUUCCACUGCAGGACAGACACUGAACCUGAGACAGAGUUGAAACAGGACAGAGAUACUGUGGGUCAGCUGUGUGCAUGAAGCUGUGAUCACAAGAGGAGCUGAGGCAUGGGAGAACAUGAGGGUUUAAUAUAUCAAAUAAAACGGUGAUACUUGAUAUCAUUUUGGCAUUUAAAAUAAUGAAUCUUCUACUUUGGAACUCAUCAAAAAUCCUUAAGAAGUUUCUGAAAGUUUGCAUCAUAAUGAAGUGUUAAUGUUAAGAUCAUUAUAUGAAAUCCUUCAUCUCUGCUUUACAAUGUUUGAGAAUAAUUAACUAAUCUCUGCAAUAAUUUACUGUUGAGAAAAACAACAUGUAACAUCUAAUACAGUUGAACACUUUGUCAUCUGUUUGUUUCACUUCCUUUUAACCUCUUUUAAAUUAACGGACUGUGAACACAAACUGAAGCGACUCUGAAUGAACAAAAAUAAACAUUAAUUUAUUUUAACGGCUCCUCAGAAGAUUUGAUAUGAAACACAAUGUUAAAAUAUCUAACCAUUAAAAUGCAAUUUACAAUGGGACUGUUUUUAUUUUAUGACAGAGCAACUAUUCUUUGGUAAAUGGUAAAAAUGUGUUUAUAUCUUAUUAAAAUUGUACAUAUAAUUCACUGUAACAUCUUCUUUAUAUGAAAAUCAAACGAAUUUUACUCAAUGUUUUUCAAUUCUUCAGCUAUGCUUUAUAUCAGUAAAAAAAUAUCAACUUUAUAUAUUAUUUUAAAUAAUUUCCUGAUUUGUCAUAUUCUAAAGCUAAAGUAAAUGUAAGGUUUAUAGUGUUAGAAAAUACAAUUAUCUGGUACUUACAUUGAACGAUGAGUUUGGUUCCUCCACCAAAAGUCCACCACAGUGAUACAAACUCAUUAAGUGGCCGUACAAAAACCUCCUGCACUGUCAACAAGCAUGUAUCCACUGAAUAUACUCCCUGAUCUUACAUUAAACAAGAAAAUGUAUAAUUUUUAAAUAAAAAGGCUAUGUAAGGCAAUGGAUGGAAUUUAUUAUGUAAAUAAAUAUUAUUUAUUUCAUUUUUCUUCACUUUUCUAAACCUGGCAAAGAAAUGAUUACAUUCUACUUUAAACAAAGUCCAUAUUUUUUUCGAGUUUAUAUUCCUUUCUACAUGUUUUAAUGAACUUGAUGCUUUUAAAUAAUAAUUAUUUACACAUUUAUUUCAAACAGAACUGAAAUACGUUAUUUUUCUACAGUAAAGUAGAUUAAUGUCAGACAAACAGACAUAUCAUACCAACCACAGCAAACACAAACUUAAAUCCUCAACUCCACUCCUGAUAUAAAUAUGUUCUUCCAUUAAGAUGAUAGAUGGUGUAAAUCCAGACAGUUUUCCUCAUGAUUUUGUGUCCCACGUUGCCUUCAGUGUGCUGAGAGCAGAGAAAUGAUUUCCAUAGAGAGGAAGCUUUGCAUCGUCAGCUGAUCCUCCCGUGAACUGAGAAGGUUUAUAGUCCUGUGAGUUCAACACUGCAGGACUCACAUCUGUCAGUCAGCAGAAACCACCAGCACCAUGACUCUCAUCACCAUCCUCAUCUGGACGCUGGCCUGCUGCUGUUUCACAGGAUGCAGCGGUCAGGUGACUGUGACUCAGCCUGCAGUAAAGACAUCUGCUCCAGGAUCCACCGUCACUCUCACCUGUAAAACCAACAGAGAUGUUUACUACCAUUCUUCGUAUGGUCAUUAUAUGUUCUGGUAUCAACAGAAAUCUGGACAGCCUCCAAAGCUCCUGAUAAGAU